CCGAAUCGAGGAUGAAUAACAAGUGUUAUUGGAGUGCCCAGCCUAUAAUGACGUGGCCAUGAGCCAGUACAUCUGGCGAGGAUGUUGGAAUGUAUGUGGGCUCACCGCAACUCAAGUAUCCCCAUUGGGCGCUGGUCUGGGCUGAUAGUGCGGUGUUUCCUGUUCGCCGUGGCUUUUAGGCGUAUAGAUAUUGCCUUUGGGCCGGCUCGUAUGGGUAGUUUUACAGGUAUGGGGUCACGCACCCCCAACCAUGUAACACACACAUUUUUUCUUAGGGGCCUUGCGCCGAUCGACUCAAAACUGGGUACAGCUGCCUUGCAAGAACGUUCACAGACUCGUGACUAGUUAGGUUAUCGGCGGUCGGUCCAGGUCGGUCCAGGCACCAUCUCGCUCGUCAUGCAUGCACUAUUACCAGCAUCUCCGUGUGCACUUAUCAGCAGAGGAAACCUCUCACACGCGCAUUAGGUAAACGCUCGUGCAAGACACACAGGUCUCUUGCCAUUCAAAGAAGCGCCAGCAGACAUGCACCUCCCCUACGCGGUGCGGCCACCAGGGACAAGUCGUCGGGGUCCGGAAACGGGAAAAUGCACUCUUUUGUGUGUCAGAUAGAAGGGCUGCUACAACUGGAGACGCAGUAAAGGGAGGACCAGGGAGUUAUACAUGCUGCAGCUGCUGCCAGUGGCUUUUUGAACGCUUGGAGUUGCUGUUCUCAGCAAAGGCGUCCUGAAGGAAGGCGAAGGUGCUCUAAAUGUUCUCCAUGCAUGCUCCCGGAAUGUCGUCCCCACAGACGAUGGGUGCACCGCAUCCUGCCAAAGAAAGAGAGAGCUGUCGGCCAAGCAUGCACGGCAGCCUGUAGAUAAGGGGCCUCAGACCGGGCUUACUCGGCCAAGCAAUUGCUUGCAAGCCCGCCAGGUCACUCAUAAGCAGAGCGCCUGUCCAUGAUAGGCUUAGUUAAAUUCGAUAUUCUUGGUUUAGGUUAACAGCGCGUUCUGAAUGCCUAAAGAUUUGCAAGCGAAAUGUAAUACGCGGCUUGAAUUUCGGAUGAAACCAGCUUAUGCCUUGGAUUCCGGAUAUGGAUGCUCAUAAGGAGCAAUAAUAAUACGGCGCUAUGAAAACUCGUGUAUUCGACCAGGUGGUCUUGAGACGGGGAACACAAAGCGCACGCUCGCCAGCAGCACCUAUGUUCUCUGCUGUUGUACCAUGUUGCACGCAUCUCCUUAGUUCGGUGCUGGAUCUCCCUUCGCAAAAUUCUCCUUCCAAAAUCCUCACGUAUAAGGAAACUAUUUAGCUUUGAUUACGGACUCGAUUUCUCAGAAAGCUUUCCUGCCGCUAUCUGUAGCAAUGACCCAUUCAGUCCCCUUAAUCAUCCGUAUUUCCUUCCGCAAUUCCGUCUGUGGGAGCGAAGGGCCUUGUACAUCGUUGAAAAAAAAUUAUCUUAUAAAUUAUACGUCAUGGUCUUGUGGCUGGUUAUGCGUGCCCCUUGCUCACUUCUGCGCGCUUGCUGUUGCCCCGUUCAGCUCUCACCUUGUUUGCAUUGACAAAGCAAGCCAUCACAGAACUCGUGCUACUGCUGUUUAUGCGCUUGAUUAGAGUUAAGCCUCGUUAAUAUAUAAGGCAAAUGCUCGUAAUAGUGGCGUUACCUACCGAGCAUGUUUUAAAGCGCUCACCCUGUUGUUAAUCCAUCAAGCUGCAACAAGGAAAACAUAUUGUGAUGCAUUAUACCUAAGGCAUUCCGAUGUCUCCAACGUUUCUCAAAACAUCCUACGUACGGUGGAUGUCGUAAGAGGGCUGCUGGCAUAUCGUAAUGUGGGUUAUGAGAAAUAAAACCGACUGGCAUAAUUGGAUUAUAAAAA
rnacentral:lncRNA from 1 species